rnacentral:rRNA from 1 species
UACGAAGGGGGCUAGCGUUGUUCGGACUUACUGGGCGUAAAGCGCUCGUAGGCGGGUCGUUUCGUCAGGGGUGAAAUCCCAGAGCUCAACUCUGGAACUGCCUUUGAUACUGGCGACCUAGAGUUCGGAAGAGGUUAGUGGAAUUCCCAGUGUAGAGGUGAAAUUCGUAGAUAUUGGGAAGAACACCAGUGGCGAAGGCGGCUAACUGGUCCGAUACUGACGCUGAGGUGCGAAAGCGUGGGGAGCAAACAGG